rnacentral:tRNA from 1 species
GAGCCCGUAGUCGAGUGGUUAAGACGCUCCCCUGACACGGGAGAGAUCCCAGGUUCAAAUCCUGGCGGGCUCA